rnacentral:rRNA from 1 species
CAGUAGCCGCGGUAAUACGGAGGAUCCAAGCGUUAUCCGGAUUUAUUGGGUUUAAAGGGUGCGUAGGUGGCCUGUUAAGUCAGGGGUGAAAGACGGUAGCUUAACUAUCGCAGUGCCCUUGAUACUGAUGGGCUUGAAUGAACUAGAGGUAGGCGGAAUGUGACAAGUAGCGGUGAAAUGCAUAGAUAUGUCACAGAACACCGAUUGCGAAGGCAGCUUACUAUGGUUUUAUUGACACUGAGGCACGAAAGCGUGGGGAUCAAACAGGAUUAGAUACCCCAGUAGUCCCUGUCUCUUAUAC